AAAGUCUUCCGGUUCCGGGGGAAGUAUGGUUGCAAAGCUGAAACUUAAAGGAAUUGACGGAAGGGCACCACCAGGAGUGGAGCCUGCGGCUUAAUUUGACUCAACACGGGGAAACUCMCCCGGGCCGGACACCGCGAGGAUUGACAGAUCGACWGCUCUUUCUUGAUUCGGUGGAUGGUGGUGCAUGGCCGUUCUUAGUUCGUGGAGCGAUUUGUCUGGKUUAUUCCGAUAACGAGCGAGACUCUAGCCUGCUAAAUAGUGCGCGCAUUGCCUCGUGCGUGCCACUUCUUAGAGGGAUUGGCGGCUCCCAGCCGCACGAAACUGAKCAAUAACAGGUCUGUGAUGCCCUUAGAUGUCCGGGGCUGCACGCGCGCUACACUGGCGAAGGCAGCGUGCCUGUYCUGYCKYGAAGGCGGKGGGUAAACCAUGGAAAAUUCGCCSUGAUUGGGAUCGGAGAUUGCAAUUAUUCUCCGUGAACGAGGAAUUCCAAGUAAGUGCGAGUCAUCAGCUCGCGUUGAUUACGUCCCUGCCCUUUGUAA
rnacentral:rRNA from 1 species